AGAGCGAACGCUGGCGGCAGGCUUAACACAUGCAAGUCGAGCGGGCGUAGCAAUACGUCAGCGGCAGACGGGUGAGUAACGCGUGGGAACGUACCUUUUGGUUCGGAACAACCCAGGGAAACUUGGGCUAAUACCGGAUAAGCCCUUACGGGGAAAGAUUUAUCGCCGAAAGAUCGGCCCGCGUCUGAUUAGCUAGUUGGUGAGGUAAUGGCUCACCAAGGCGACGAUCAGUAGCUGGUCUGAGAGGAUGAUCAGCCACAUUGGGACUGAGACACGGCCCAAACUCCUACGGGAGGCAGCAGUGGGGAAUAUUGGACAAUGGGCGCAAGCCUGAUCCAGCCAUGCCGCGUGAGUGAUGAAGGCCCUAGGGUUGUAAAGCUCUUUUGUGCGGGAAGAGUAAUGACGGUACGCAAGAAUAAGCCCGGCUAACUUCGCGCCAGCAGGCCGC
rnacentral:rRNA from 1 species